rnacentral:rRNA from 1 species
GACGAACGCUGGCGGCGUGCUUAACACAUGCAAGUCGAACGAUGAACCGAGAGCUUGCUCUUGGGGAUUAGUGGCGAACGGGUGAGUAACACGUGAGUAACCUGCCCUGGACUCUGGGAUAACCCCGAGAAAUCGGAGCUAAUACCGGAUAGGACCUUGCACCGCAUGGUGUGGGGUGGAAAGUUUUUUCGGUUGGGGAGGGACUCGCGGCCUAUCAGCUUGUUGGUGAGGUAAGGGCUCACCAAGGCGUUGACGGGUAGCCGGCCUGAGCUGGCGGCGGGCCACACGGGGACUGAGACACUGCGCAGACUCGUACGGGAGGCAGCAGGGGGGAAUAUUGCACAAUGGGCGAAAGCAUGAUGCAGCAACGCGGAGUGAGGGAUGACGGCCUUCGGGUUGUAAACCUCUUUUAGCAGGGAAGAAGCGAAAGUGACGGUACCUGCAGAAAAAGCGCCGGCUAACUACGUGCCAGCAGCCGCCGUAAGAC